AUUGUUAUUGCAGAAGAAGAUAUUUGAUGUUCUCUACAGGAUAGCAGACAUUCCUUUCUUGAAACCAUACUAGAUAAAAAUCAUUGUAUGUUCUAUUAUCUAUAAGAUUUUCCUAUUUAUAUUCCUAUCUUAAAUCCAGAUUAGUCCUUUCACAUUUGAUGACUGGUUUUGGUCUUUUGGAGCAGGAUGUUAUUGAGAAGGUAGACUGGUAGAGAAACAACCUACCGUCACCAUUGCCCAUUGGGCAUUGGAGUUCUGCUGUUCUGGUGUCCACGGUAGUGGUAUUUGCCAGUUGCCACUGCCAUAGUUUGAUUCUCUGAUAGUCAGGAUUCUCUUUGGUAGCAAAAAGAAACCUCAGAGACAAGUCUCGGCACCGUCUGCUUCCAAAACCAAGUCAGCCGAAACUGUUGGGAAUGAUUCUCCAGGCACUAAUGAAGAGAAAGAAGAGAAUGUAAAAGUUGAUGAUGCAUCUAGUCCUCGAGCUCGGAAAUCUAGAAGGAGACCUGAGGUAGCAAGCUCUUCAAAUUUUGUGAGAUGUUCACAGUACAGAUAUGCGUUGCGUUGUUAGGCUUUCCAGUGGCGGCUGAAGCGCACAUUUGCCUCCUUCCAAUUAAAAGUUAGCUUUACAAUUUGUCCUUGAAUUUGUGGACUAGAAAUCUGUGGCUUAUAUAAUUUCUUGUAAUUUGCUUCUUUGAACAAUUAUUUUUAGAGUUAA